AGAGAGUAAGAAAAAAGAAUUAGAGAAGAAGGAAGAAUAAGAUAAAGUUGCACUGUUAAAAUACAGCUACACUAUUUUAAAAGAAAAUUAUACUAUUAUAGACGUAAGUUGCACUCUUUGAGAUAUAAAUUAUACAAUUAAUAUGAAAGUUACACCAUUUAAAUAAAAAUUGCACUAUUUGGGAGAUAAUUAAUUUUUUCUCCCAAAAAGCAUUCUUUAAGAUAAAAACUACACUCUUUAAACAAAAGUUGCACUAUUGAAAGAUAGUUACACUAUUUUUUCUUUCAAAGAACACCCUUUAAGAUGAAAAUUACACUUUUUAAACGAAAGUUGCAAUAUUUGGGAGAUAGUUAUAAUAUUUCUCCUCUCAAUAAGUGUAUUUUUUGUUAAAAGAGUGUAACUUUUAUCUUAAAAGGUACAAUUUAUAUCUUAAAGAGUGCAACUUAUAUAUUCUUCUAAAAUAGUAU
rnacentral:lncRNA from 1 species